rnacentral:lncRNA from 1 species
GUUCUUUUCCAGUUUCUUAACCCUCAUGUCUGCUUCUCUUGAGUCUUUGUUUUCUUAGCAGGAACUUAGUACUGGGGACCUGAAUGAUGCAGGGCACCACCAGAACCAUCGUAGGAAAGCAGCACUGAAAUUAGGCACAGCAGGACAACCCCAGAUGCCUCAGUAGUUGGUUUUCAGUUUCAGAAAGCAAAGCAGCUGCUCAUGCUGCAGCUUCCCUUACAGUCAAGGGAGACGGUACCUGCACUGUCAUCACUGUCAGUGGUCACCGCCUUGACCAAUGCCUUCCACACUUACCUGAACCAGAACCAGAUACUAUAGAGGGUAUCAAUUAACCCUUUUUGACAUCUGUGAUGUGUCAUAGAGGGUUCUCUGGUCAUGUCUACUUGGGGUUCUAUAUGCCUCUUGUGUUUGGAUGUCAAUUCCUGUCUCUAGGUUUAGGAAAUUUUGUGAUAUAAUUUCAUUAAAUAAUUUGACUAAUUCCUUUUGAAUUUA